GUGCGAGCGUUGUCCGGAAUCAUUGGGCGUAAAGGGCGCGUAGGUGGCCCGGUCAGUCUUUGGUGAAAGCGCGGGGCUCAACCCUGCGUCGGCCAGGGAUACUGCCGCGGCUCGAGCACUGUAGAGGCAGGCGGAAUUCCGGGUGUAGCGGUGGAAUGCGUAGAGAUCCGGAAGAACACCGGUGGCGAAGGCGGCCUGCUGGGCAGUUGCUGACACUGAGGCGCGACAGCGUGGGGAGCAAACAGG
rnacentral:rRNA from 1 species